rnacentral:rRNA from 1 species
GGAGGGUGCGAGCGUUAUUCGGAAUCACUGGGCGUAAAGAGCGCGUAGGCGGUUUCUAAAGUCAGAUGUGAAAGCCCGGGGCUCAACCCCGGAAGUGCAUUUGAAACUUAGGGACUUGAGUAUGGGAGAGGGAAGUGGAAUUCCUGGUGUAGCGGUGAAAUGCGUAGAUAUCAGGAGGAUCACCGGUGGCGAAGGCGACUUCCUGGACCAAUACUGACGCUGAGGCGCGAAGGCGUGGGGAGCAAACAGGAUUAGAUACCCUGGUAGUCCACGCAGUAAACGUUGAACACUAGGUGUAGCGGGUAUUGACCCCCUGCUGUGCCGCAGCUAACGCAUUAAGUGUUCCGCCUGGGGAGUACGGCCGCAAGGCUA